rnacentral:lncRNA from 1 species
CACUUUCAAGGUCACAACACAGUAUCCAUUUACUAUGUACAUGGUUUACAACUUCAUCAUGCUCCAAAAUCAAACAACAACUACGGAAACAAUCGGUGAAGUCAAAAUCAAAAUUUCUAUUUAGCAAUUAAAACAAUUAAUGAAUAGAACUAUUAUCAAAUGAUCAAUUAACAAAUAAUUAGUUUAAAAUUUAAUUAAUUAGUUACUAAAUUAGAAAACUAGUAAAGAGAGAAAAAAUAAAUAAAUAAAUAAACCAAGAGGUGCACAUUAAUAUAGGGAGUGUUUAAGCAACAAGUAACAUUGGGUUUAAGGCCCAAAAUCCAAAUGAAUAUAACUAAACAAAAUGUUUGAUAAUAGUAAACAAGGUUUAUUUGUUAAAAUAAAUAAAAAUAAAAAAUAAAAAUAUUGACUUUCCAACACAACAACGCUUAAUUUUCUUUAAAUGGGAAAAGAAGGCAAAAUGCAGUAAGCUAAAAGAAAAACAAAACCUGAAACCGAGCUUUAUCUUCC